rnacentral:rRNA from 1 species
CCUACGGGAGGCAGCAGUGGGGAAUAUUGCACAAUGGGGGAAACCCUGAUGCAGCGACGCCGCGUGAGUGAAGAAGUAUUUCGGUACGUAAAGCUCUAUCAGCAGGGAAGAAAAUGACGGUACCUGACUAAGAAGCCCCGGCUAACUACGUGCCAGCAGCCGCGGUAAUACGUAGGGGGCCAGCGUUAUCCGGAUUUACUGGGUGUAAAGGGAGCGUAGACGGCAGCGCAAGUCUGGAGUGAAAUCCCAUGGCUUAACCAUGGAACUGCUUUGGAAACUGUGCAGCUAGAGUGCAGGAGAGGUAAGCGGAAUUCCUAGUGUAGCGGUGAAAUGCGUAGAUAUUAGGAGGAACACCAGUGGCGAAGGCGGCUUACUGGACUGUAACUGACGUUGAGGCUCGAAAGCGUGGGGAGCAAACAGGAUUAGAUACCCGGGUAGUC